rnacentral:rRNA from 1 species
AUACGUAGGGAGCGAGCGUUGUCCGGAAUUACUGGGCGUAAAGGGCGCGUAGGCGGCGUUUCAAGUCGUCUGUCAAAUGGGAGGGCUUAACCCUUUUUCGCAGACGAAACUGGAGAGCUUGAGAAGCAGAGAGGCAAACAGAAUUCCUGGUGUAGCGGUGAAAUGCGUAGAUAUCAGGAGGAAUACCAGUGGCGAAGGCGGUUUGCUGGCUGCAUACUGACGCUGAAGCGCGAAAGCCAGGGGAGCGAACGGGAUUAGAUACCCCGGUAGUCCUGGCAGUAAACGAUGUAUGCUGGGUGUGAGACUAGCGAUAGUUUCGUGCCGAAGUUAACGCGAUAAGCAUACCGCCUGGGGAGUACGGUCGCAAGAUUGAAACUCAAAUGAAUUGACGGGG